AGAAUCAACGCUGGCGGCGUGCCUAACACAUGCAAGUCGCACGAGAAAGGGACUUCGGUCCUGAGUACAGUGGCGCACGGGUGAGUAACACGUGAAUCAUCUACCUCCGAGUGGGGAAUAACUGAGAGAAAUCUUAGCUAAUACCGCAUAACACUUACGAGUCAAAGCAGCAAUGCGCUUGGAGAGGAGUUCGCGGCAGAUUAGUUAGUUGGCGGGGUAAUGGCCCACCAAGACGAUGAUCUGUAUCCGGCCUGAGAGGGCGCACGGACACACUGGAACUGAAACACGGUCCAGACUCCUACGGGAGGCAGCAGUGGGGAAUUUGCGCAAUGGGGGAAACCCUGACGCAGCAACGCCGCGUGGAGGAUGAAAUCCCUUGGGAUGUAAACUCCUUUCGAUAGGGAAGAUAAUGACGGUACCUAUAGAAGAAGCCCGGCUAACUUCGUGCCAGCAGCCGC
rnacentral:rRNA from 1 species